GGGGUGCGCGCCUUACAUGCACGUCUAACGGCAGCACGGAAGACCCGUCGCCGGCUGCUGAGGAGGAGGUGGCGCUGCGGUAAUACAUGCUCGUACUCGGGCUCCUGUGAUGGAUGGAUGAGACAGCUACUAACGUGGGCGACUUGUCUACCUGACCUCCGUCACCGACCGGCAUCGACGCACCGGAGGGGAUGGGCCACCAUUCGCGCGCCUUCGUUGGCGUAGUGAUGAUGCCCAUGAUUAGUCAUUCUCGUGAGGGUGGUGAAGGCAUCAUCAUCGCCUACGGACUACGCCCCCCGCGUGCUGAGAGGAGAAGACGACCCACUGCGCUUGAGAUACGGCCCCGACCCUACUCCUAGGGGACGCUGCGGAGUUUAGUACUGUGCGGUCGCGCCCUGACCUGAUGCCUGCCCCGCUGCGGGUAUAAAGGCCUCCGGCUGGUAACCGACUUUCUUCGGCAAGAAAGGGAGUGGUUUAAUACCUCCGCUCACUGACUGGUCACCUGCCGAAUAAGCAACCGGCUAACUACUUGCCGCCAGCCGCGGCAAUAAUUAGGGUGGAGCGGUCAUUAGUCAUAUUUGGGGGCAAUAGGCGCACGCCGCGUUUGUUCAGACAUGUGAUACCCCCGCGCUUCUGCGGGCUAGCGUCUUCUCAUACGGGCAGGUGUCACGCUCGAAGAGGGGAUAUAAUUCCGUGUGUAGCAGUGACAUGCAUAUAUAUCUGAACGAUACCGGUGGGGAAAGCCCCUCCCCGGAGACUGACUCUCACUCUCGUGCGCGAGCGUGGGGAGCAUAAAUAGAGACACUGUUUGUUGGUCCCCUACACAAAUGAAGUCUGCAAGCUGGGUCGUUGAUCGAUGCGUGCUUCC
rnacentral:rRNA from 1 species